rnacentral:rRNA from 1 species
AUAGGGGAGCCGCAGGGAAACCGAGUCUUAACUGGGCGUUAAGUUGCAGGGUAUAGACCCGAAACCCGGUGAUCUAGCCAUGGGCAGGUUGAAGGUUGGGUAACACUAACUGGAGGACCGAACCGACUAAUGUUGAAAAAUUAGCGGAUGACUUGUGGCUGGGGGUGAAAGGCCAAUCAAACCGGGAGAUAGCUGGUUCUCCCCGAAAGCUAUUUAGGUAGCGCCUCGUGAACUCAUCUUCGGGGGUAGAGCACUGUUUCGGCUAGGGGGUCAUCCCGACUUACCAACCCGAUGCAAACUACGAAUACCGAAGAAUGUUAUCACGGGAGACACACGGCGGGUGCUAACGUCCGUCGUGAAGAGGGAAACAACCCAGACCGCCAGCUAAGGUCCCAAAGUCAUGGUUAAGUGGGAAACGAUGUGGGAAGGCCCAGACAGCCAGGAUGUUGGCUUAGAAGCAGCCAUCAUUUAAAGAAAGCGUAAUAGCUCACUGGUCGAGUCGGCCUGCGCGGAAGAUGUAACGGGGCUAAACCAUGCACCGAAGCUGCGGCAGCGACGCUUAUGCGUUGUUGGGUAGGGGAGCGUUCUGUAAGCCGUUGAAGGUGGCCUGUGAGGGUUGCUGGAGGUAUCAGAAGUGCGAAUGCUGACAUAAGUAACGAUAAUGCGGGUGAAAAACCCGCACGCCGGAAGACCAAGGGUUCCUGUCCAACGUUAAUCGGGGCAGGGUGAGUCGACCCCUAAGGCGAGGCCGAAAGGCGUAGUCGAUGGGAAACAGGUUAAUAUUCCUGUACUUGGUGUUACUGCGAAGGGGGGACGGAGAAGGCUAUGUUGGCCGGGCGACGGUUGUCCCGGUUUAAGCAUGUAGGCGGAUGUUCCAGGUAAAUCCGGAACGUUAUUAACGCUGAGGUGUGAUGACGAGGCACUACGGUGCUGAAGUGACAAAUGCCCUGCUUCCAGGAAAAGCCUCUAAGCAUCAGGUAACAUCAAAUCGUACCCCAAACCGACACAGGUGGUCAGGUAGAGAAUACCAAGGCGCUUGAGAGAACUCGGGUGAAGGAACUAGGCAAAAUGGUGCCGUAACUUCGGGAGAAGGCACGCUGAUGGUAAGUGAAGUGACUUGCUCAUGGAGCUGAAAUCAGUCGAAGAUACCAGCUGGCUGCAACUGUUUAUUAAAAACACAGCACUGUGCAAACACGAAAGUGGACGUAUACGGUGUGACGCCUGCCCGGUGCCGGAAGGUUAAUUGAUGGGGUUAUCCUCACGGAGAAGCUCUUGAUCGAAGCCCCGGUAAACGGCGGCCGUAACUAUAACGGUCCUAAGGUAGCGAAAUUCCUUGUCGGGUAAGUUCCGACCUGCACGAAUGGCGUAAUGAUGGCCAGGCUGUCUCCACCCGAGACUCAGUGAAAUUGAACUCGCUGUGAAGAUGCAGUGUACCCGCGGCAAGACGGAAAGACCCCGUGAACCUUUACUAUAGCUUGACACUGAACACUGGUCCUUGAUGUGUAGGAUAGGUGGGAGGCUUUGAAGUGUGGACGCCAGUCUGCAUGGAGCCAUCCUUGAAAUACCACCCUUUAAUGGCUGGUGUUCUAACGUGGGCCCGUGAUCCGGGUUGCGGACAGUGUCUGGUGGG